GCCGGCCGGGGCGAGCGGAGUCCGCCGUGGUGGGGCCGUGGCGAGGCGGGGCGAGGCGGGGCGGUGGCGGGGCGGGGCGGAGCGGGGGUGGGGCGGAGCCGGC
ensembl:miRNA Gm24109 predicted gene, 24109